CUCUUAUCAAGAGAGGUGGAGGGAUGUGCCAAUGAAGCCCGGCAACCGUCAGCGCGUGCGCUGAAAUGGUGCCAAUUCACACAAAGCGGCCUGCUUUGAGAGAUAAGAG
rnacentral:ncRNA from 2 species